rnacentral:rRNA from 1 species
UACAGAGGUGCCGAGCGUUAGGCGGAAUCACUGGGCUUAAAGCGUGUGUAGGCGGAUUGGUAAGUACCUUGUGAAAUCCCACGGCUCAACCGUGGAACUGCUGGGUAUACUGCCUGUCUUGAGCCAACUAGGGGCAGCCGGAACAGACGGUGGAGCGGUGAAAUGCGUAGAUAUCGUCUGGAACGCCAAAGGUGAAAACAGGCUGCUGGGGUUGUGCUGACGCUGAGACACGAAAGCCAGGGGAGCAAACGGG